rnacentral:lncRNA from 1 species
GGAAGCAAAGCUGACCACGACUCAGUAUAUUUAACAUCAGGAAAUCAAAACUGAGGAUAGAAAAAUGCGCAAAGUGAAGGAGGUUUUUUCAAGAUUACGUGGUUUAUGAUAAACUAAAGAAUGAAAGUUGAAGAAUUAAAAGACAUAAACCGAACUUUAUUUUUUAUUCUAAUGGUAAUGAUGGAAUUUCUGAUCAAAAACAAUCUUAAAGAGAGUCAAAUGACAUAUGGGCUUAUAAAGCUUUAGCAUACCAUAACCUACCACCCUUUUCAGGCACAAUGAAAAAAGAAGUUGGAAAAGCAUCCACCUAUUGCCUGCAUGUAACAGAGCUCUGAGAAAUCAGCCUUUUAAUAAAAAGUACAGUCCUCAAAGUCUAAAUGCCUAUCUAGCCCUUUCAUAUUAUGAUACGUUCUGUUAGAAAUCAGUUUUCUUUCUUGCCUUUCAUGCAUUAUUACUUCACAUUAGUUCAAUUUUCCUUUGUCUUGCUUCUAGGUUUUUCAGUCACCCAACCUUUUCUUUUAUGAAGGCCUCUAUUGUUUUUUAUAAUUAUCACUGUAAUAAUACAAAUGAGUUUAUCAAACUUGUUUCUCAGUCUCCUUUUCUCCAUGAGUUGGUAAUUAAUUUGUUAACAUGUUGGCAUCAUGUUUUCCAUGAAUCUGGCUCCAUCCAUGAACCACUGAAUAUCCUCCUGCAUUUAUGAUGCUUGCCUCAAAUCACUGUUUCCUGACUUAGUAUUUUCUGGCAUCAAGACAUGAAACAAAAAGUAUCGGCUGGGCGCGGUGGCUCACGCCUGUAAUCCCAGCACUUUGGGAGGCCGAGGCAGGCGGACCACGAGGUCAGGAGAUCGAGACCGUCCUGGCUAACACGGUGAAACCCCCUCUCUACUAAAAAUACAAAAAAAUAACUGGGCGUGGUGGUGGGCGCCUGUAGUCCCAGCUACUCGGGAGGCUGAGGUGGAAGAAUGGCAUGAACCUGGGAGGUGGAGCUUGCAGUGAGCCAAGAUCGUGCCACUGCACUCCAGCCUGGAUGACAGAGCGAGACUCCGUCUCAAAAAAAGAAAAAAUUAAUAGUAUCAUAACUAUAUCCCACAUCUUUAUGAAAUAAGCUGGUUUCCCUCAGAGCCACCAGUGCUGCUGUGUCAUAAAAUCUGAUAGAUACUGCCCUUAUCAUUAUUUCUGAAAACACCACAAACUUAUUUCAGUUAUACAAUCUAUGUGACUUGUGUUUUUAUCUCAAGGGUAAUCUCCCUUACUUAAAAUCUGACACAUUUUUAAUUAAUUUAUUUGUUUCUACAUUCAUUCAAAACAUACCAAGAUUUUUAUAUUGCCAGGUUCUUUAUAAAUGCUGCAAAUAUGACAUGAAUAGAGUAAAGAGGUCCUUUGCCUCAUGAGAUGAUAAAUCUAUUUUCUAGAAAUGACAAAUUUUUAACAAGUAAUUCUAUGUGUGAUAAAUGCAAUAACCAAGAGUGCUCUAAGUGCUUUGCAAGCAAAAGUUAAGAAGUCAAAUUUGGUCUUGAAUUUUAUAUUGAGGAUAUUUAUUCCUAUUUAAUUAGAUAAGGAACACUGAAGAAAGAAGAGGUUGCCUUAAAGAUAGCAGUCAGGAUUGGCUACCUAAGAGGGCCAGUAGAAGAUAAAAAUCAGAGCUCCUUAUACAAAAAUUAUUAUGAAUUUUAAGACUGCAAUAGCAGAUCAUUAAACCAAGUGUGUGAUCCCCAAAACGUGAGGUCCUGUGCGACUGCACAUGUCACAUGCCAUGAAGUCAGCCCUCACGCCUAUGAAGCAUCCAGGAAUAUAUGUCAAGCAGGCAGUAGAGUAUACCAGUCUGGAGCUCAAGAGAAAUAUUUUGUUAUAGACAUUUGCAAGUUGUGACAGAUUAAAGAUAGCCAUAAAUUGUCACUCUAAAAAAUCAAGAAAUGGAGUUUAUUUAUCUUCCUCCUUGAAUGUUAGCUGGCCCUAUGAUGGUUUAAUCAAUACAGUGAUGUAAAAGUGAUGUUGUGGUAGUUCUAGGCCCAGCCUUUAAAAGCACUGCUGCUUCUCUCUUGAAAUGCUCACACUUGGGACACUUUCCUCCAGAACCCAGAGGCUAAAUGGAUGUUCACUUUUAGAUGACAGCCCCAGCUGUCCCAGCGAAUAGGCAGCAUCAAGUAUCAGCCAUUUGAGUGAACCAUUUAGAUGUUCCAGUGCAAUUGAGCAGAAGAACCACCCAGCUGAACCUAGUCAAUCCACAGAACCAUGAGAGAUAAUGAAAUGGUUGUUGUUUUAGGCCAUGAAUUUUGCAGUAAUACACAGCAAUAAUAACCAAAACAGAAAUUAGUGAGGUGCUGAAACAACAAAAAGCUAAAACAUUUGGCAUUGGCUUUGGACCUAGAAAGCAGAUAGAAGGUAGUCCAAAGCAGACUGCUAGUGAAAAAUGGAAUGAUAGGGAGAAAAAUGUUUUUGAUGCUGGAAAGGAGGAAGAGGGCUUAUGUUUUUUGUGGACACAAAAAACAGAAAAUAAAGCAAAUGAAAAUUUUUUUUAUUUUAUUGAGCAGCAGAAUAGUGAAAGUGCCAACUGUUUUUCCUGAAUAAAAUAAGGUAUAUGUAGAGAGAGGAACUUAAAAAAAUAGCUUUCAAACAGGAUCUAGAGGGAGUAUUUCUUAACCAAGACUUGUUGGGAAUUUUUCUUAUUCCCAGUCUCCCUCAACAAAAGUCUCUCAAAGUAAGAAAUUACUUUAGGACAAAGAUCAAAUCCAAGGCACUGUCAGUAAAUGUGCAGUUUCAAAGUCAAGAUCUCAGAUAUGUGGCUAUAAGAACUUUUUGUUAAAAACUCAGAAGGAUUUGACAUUUGUAAAAAACUCAGGUGUGCCUCUUUGAAACUUUCUUCUAGACAAUGAGGCUUCUAUAACUCUCUGUUCAAAGUAGGGAAAGGCCUUUUAUAAAGAAACUUUGGUGUCGCUUUUGUCCAGGAAAAUGGCUUAUAUUUUUAUACUCAGGAAAACCACAAAGUAUCUAUAGGAAGUGUACCAAUUUGUACUAAACAAACAAAGAAAAACAGUGACAGUUCAAAAAUUAAGAGAUCUUUGAGACACUCAAUUUUCAACAAAAAGAACACAGCCUGAGAAAGUCACUCAGCUACACAUGUGGGCUGUUUCUUAGGGAAAAGAGAGACAUAUGGAAGAGCCAGAAGCCCAGAGGAAAAAGCUAAGAGGCAGAGAGAAUCAACCCAAGAAAGCUGGAGGAAACCCUAACCAAGGAACCCACAUCUGCUCACCUAAAUUUCAGGAUGUUUAUGAACCAGUGGCUGCUAUUUGCCACUGUACUUUUGGAAUGCGUGUCUAUCAAAUUCUAUUGUCCUUGUCUCACUAUUACAUACUGAGUUUGUGGGGGCCAGAUAACUUGUUUUCUAGUUCAUAGCUCUUCAUCUCAAGAGUAGCCUGAGGUGCCUUAUUCACACCUGGAUCUGAUUUAGAUAAUGGAAUGCUGAACAUUGAACCUAAUUCAGUCACAAAUUGAGACUUUGAGGGUCAUGGGGAAUGGUCAGGGUAUUUUGCAUGUAGAAUGAAUUUAAAUAAUUUAUGACUGAGGGAUCACUGUUGUGGGCUAAAAAUGACCAAACACGUUUUAUUACUCUUUCCAUCAACAUGUGGCAUUUAUUUUCAUUCCCUCUUGAAUCUGGGUUGGCCCUGUGACAGCUUAAAUAGAAUGUGGUGGAAGUGAUGAUAUACCAGUUACAGACACACUUUUUAAGAGGAUUGCAGCAUCCAGGUCCCCCUCUAAGGUUUCUCAUUCUUGGAACAAUUCUUGGAACUCACCCAUCAUACUGUGAGAAACCCAAGCCACAUGUAUAGGACACAUGUUGAUGAUCCAAUUGACAGUCUCAAGCGAACUCUUUGCCAAUAACCAGCAUCAAAUGCUGCCAGGUAAAUGGGAAAUCUUGGCUGUCCCAGCACAAUUGAGCCCAUAGAUGAUGCAGCCAAAUCCAAUUUAUAAGAAACAAGCAACCCCAUUUAGUCCAGUCAACACUAAAAAUAGCGUGAAAUAAUGAAAUAGUUAAGCCAGUAACUUUUGGAGUGGUUUGUUAUAAAAUAAUAGAUAAUUAAAAUAGGAGUCAGCUGUGUAUAGAGGUUAAUGAAGCCAUGAGAUGGUUAAGACAAUCAAUAUGUGACAUGAAAGAAAAAAGGCUAUCUUAGUCUGUUUUCUGUUACCUGAAUUCCAUAAACUGAGUAAUUUAUAAAGAAAAUAAAUGUAUUUAUUUCUUACAGUUCUAGAGGCUGAUAAGUCCAAGCAUAUGGUGCCAGCAUCUGGUGAGGCCUUCUUGCUGUGUAAUCUCAUGGCAGAAGAGUGGAAGGACAAGUGAGCACAUGCAAAAGGGAUUGUACAAGGUGCUGAGCUGGCUUUAUUACAACUUGCUCUUGAGAUAACUACCAACUCUGAUGAUAGGACCUUAAUCUAUUCAUAAGGGUGCUGCCUAUGAUUUGAUUACCUCUUAAAGGCCCCACAUCUUAAUACUUUUACAAUGGCAAUUAAAUGUCAACAUGAGUUUCAGUGGAGACAAACAUUCAAACCAUAGCAAAGGCUUAGAAUAGAAUCCUAGGAAUUCCAAAAUUGCCAGACAGAGAAAAAGAUGACAGCUACAGAAUCUGUGAAAUAUGUUCAUCAAAGUAAAAAGAAAUCCAGACAGUCAGUGACCUGUGAGCCAAUGGAAGAGAGAGACCACACAGGUGAGUGCCAAUGAGAGAUCAAAUGAGAUAUAGGUCAUAGUUACUUGUUCUAUUAAAUGACAUAGAAGAUAAAGGUGGCCUUAGCAAAAAUAGAAUUUCAAACUGUUAGGGAGGAAGCCAGACUGGAAUUAGAGAGGUAGCUGAAGAAUGACAGGGAAUGAGUAGAGAGGAACAGAGAGUAUAGGUUCUUUUGAAGAGCCAGGAAAGUUGGCAUGAAGAAGCUCAAUAUCUCUUUCUGUCUCUCAUUCUCACUCUGUGUGUGUAUGUGUGUGUGUGUGUGUGUGUGGUGGGGAGAAGGAAUAAGAGACAGAAAUCUUGAAACAUUAAAAUUAUCAUUAAAUGAUGGUGAGAAGGAAAGAAAUAUAAAAGUUAUGGUAAGAGAAAAAUAUGAGUAAUAUUUAACUCUUUCCAGAAAGGAUCCUCAAACCAAAGAACAUCCAUUUAGGCACUAUGGCUAGUGUUCAAACACACAAUAACCUCAAAAUAACACUUGCUGUCAAGCAGAAUUUGUAAAACUGAGCUGAAUAAUCAUGGAUUCAAAGGAAUUUAUUUCCUGACAUAUCAAAAUGGCCUUGUUUAAAUCAUGUAAUCGAGUCUAUAAUAAAAAUUUAAUCUUAAGGUUUUAUAGCUCAAAAAAAUCUGUAUUUUAAAUUUUUAGGCAGUUUCUUCUAAGGUGAACAAUGGUAUUUACCUUUUGGGUAGAACAUGACUUAUUUUUGGAAGUAUUGCUUGAGUAAUAUUAAGAAUUAGGAAAUAUCUACUUGCUGAUAUGAGAGUAUACAAAAAUGUUUGCUUGACAAGCUUCCGAGGGCUCUGUAAGAUUGUGGUGAUAUCAGAUAAUGCCCUUCCCAAAUGUGUCUGCUCAUCAAUGAAUUUACACACAUGCAUAACAGCUUCCUGGGAGCAGAAUGGCUUGUACCUGGUUCUGUCUCUGAGUGUUUCAAAGAUAUGGAAGCAUGUUUGAUGAAAGAUCAUGGAAUAGCAAAGAAAAAUAGCACCAAAAAGGCAAACAAGGCAGGGAAAGAUUCUAGACUAGUGAUUUGGGAUCAACACAGGACAGGAUGAUUAGAGAGAAUAGCUUCCUGUGCACACUAUGUAGUUUGAUGCAGAAGCCAUCCUGAUCCAGAUGCCCUGGUACUGUGGGGCGGGACCUUGGAAAAAUUACCCAGAGGAUGUGAAGUGAAAGUUUUGUUACACCAUUCUUCAGAGUGAAGGCAGUUUUCCUACAGAAACCUUCAAAAAAGGAGAUGCAUCCUUCCUUGUUCCUGGCAGUCUUGCAUUUGAGGAAAUCAGUAUGCUCCAACUUAGACUUAUCUUUUAGUCUCCAGAGGCAGAAAAAAAGCAGAAAAGGUUGUUGAAAUUCUUCACAUUGAUUUCAGGGCAAUGAUCUCAAACGGCGCAGUGGGAACCCGCAAAUUUAAGAGGGUAGUUUCCCUGCACAAGCCCUUUUUUUGCCUGCUGCCAUCCGUGUAAGAUGUGACUUGCUCCUCCUUGUCUUCUACCAUGAUUGUGAGGCCUCCCCAGUUAUGUGGAACUCAAAGCUAGAGGAAACCAAAGUCAUAGAACAUCUGAACUCUGUCCAAACAUCGGUCGUAUUUCAAAAUUUCAGAGAUCUCCUGGAAAAAGCCUUAUACCUAAUAUUCUUGUUUGGAGGAAGAAACUGGGAAAAACAUCUGUCAUCUCCUCACCAGACCGAGUCUCGUUCUGUAGUCCAGGCUGGAGUGCAGUGGCGGGAUCUCCACUCACUGCAAGCUCCACCUCCCAGGUUAAAGCCAUUCUCCUGCCUCAGCCUCCUGAGUAGCUGAGACUACAGGCACUCACCACCACACCCGGCUUAUUUUUUGUAUUUUUAGUAGAGACGGGGUUUCACCGUGUUAGCCAGGAUGGUCUCGAUCUCCUGACCUCGUGAUCUGCCUGCCUCGGCCUCCCAAAGUGCUGGUAUUACAGGCGUGAGCCACCACGCCAGGCCACAAUCUUUCAUUUUUAU